rnacentral:rRNA from 1 species
UACGUAGGUGGCAAGCGUUGUCCGGAUUUACUGGGCGUAAAGGAUGCGUAGGCGGACAUUUAAGUCAGAUGUGAAAUACCCGAGCUUAACUUGGGUGCUGCAUUUGAAACUAGGUGUCUAGAGUGCAGGAGAGGUAAGUGGAAUUCCUAGUGUAGCGGUGAAAUGCGUAGAGAUUAGGAAGAACACCAGUGGCGAAGGCGACUUACUGGACUGUAACUGACGCUGAGGCAUGAAAGCGUGGGGAGCAAACAGG